AACCCACGGAAAGGGAAUAGUCUUAGAAAAUCUUUAUAACACUCUCACGUGUCAAACAAGGACUCUUCAUCUUCUUGCCUAAAGUUAUUUAUCUCAUUUCUAACU